rnacentral:rRNA from 1 species
CCUACGGGAGGCAGCAGUGGGGAAUAUUGCACAAUGGGGGAAACCCUGAUGCAGCGACGCCGCGUGAGUGAAGAAGUAUCUCGGUACGUAAAGCUCCAUCAGUAGGGAAGUAAAUGACGGUACCUGACUAAGAAGCCCCGGCUAACGACGUGCCAGUAGCCGCGGUAAUACGGAGGGGGCAAGCGUUAUCCGGAUUUACUGGGUGUAAAGGGAGCGUAGACGGCAGCACAAGUCUGGAGUGAAAUCCCGGGGCUUAACCCCGGAACUGCUUUGGAAACUGGGCGGCUGGAGUGCAGGAGGGGUAAGCGGAAUUCCUGGUGUAGCGGUGAAAUGCGUAGAUAUUAGGAAGAACACCGGUGGCGAAGGCAGCUUACUGGACUGUAACUGACGUUGAGGCUCGAAAGCGUGGGGAGCAAACAGGAUUAGAUACCCUUGUAGUC